AGAGCGAACGCUGGCGGCAGGCCUAACACAUGCAAGUCGAGCGCCCCGCAAGGGGAGCGGCAGACGGGAGAGUAACACGUGGGAACGUACCCUUCAGUUCGGAACAACCCAGGGAAACUUGGGCUAAUACCGGAUACGUCCGUAAGGAGAAAGAUUUAUCGCUGAAGGAUCGGCCCGCGUCUGAUUAGCUUGUUGGUGAGGUAACGGCUCACCAAGGCUACGAUCAGUAGCUGGUCUGAGAGGAUGAUCAGCCUCACUGGGACUGAGACACGGCCCAGACUCCUACGGGAGGCAGCAGUGGGGAAUAUUGGACAAUGGGGGCAACCCUGAUCCAGCAAUGCCGCGUGAGUGAUGAAGGCCUUAGGGUUGUAAAGCUCUUUCGCCCGCGACGAUGAUGACGGUAGCGGGAGAAGAAGCCCGGCUAACUUCGUACCAGCAGCCGC
rnacentral:rRNA from 1 species